AACGAACGCUGGCGGCAGGCUUAACACAUGCAAGUCGAGCGCCCCGCCAGGGGAGCGGCAGACGGGUGAGUAACGCGUGGGAACGUACCUUUUGGUUCGGAACAACUCCGGGAAACUGGAGCUAAUACCGGAUAAGCCCUAACGGGGAAAGAUUUAUCGCCGAAAGAUCGGCCCGCGUCUGAUUAGCUAGUUGGUGAGGUAACGGCUCACCAAGGCGACGAUCAGUAGCUGGUCUGAGAGGAUGAUCAGCCACACUGGGACUGAGACACGGCCCAGACUCCUACGGGAGGCAGCAGUGGGGAAUAUUGGACAAUGGGCGCAAGCCUGAUCCAGCCAUGCCGCGUGAGUGAUGAAGGCCUUAGGGUUGAAAAGCUCUUUUGUCCGGGAAGAUAAUGACUGUACCGGAAGAAUAAGCCCCGGCUAACUUCGUG
rnacentral:rRNA from 1 species